UACGGAGGGUGCGAGCGUUGUCCGGAAUCACUGGGCGUAAAGGGCGCGUAGGCGGCUUUAUAAGUCGGGGGUGAAAGCCUGUGGCUCAACCACAGAAUUGCCUUCGAUACUGUAGAGCUUGAGACCGGAAGAGGUAAGUGGAACUGCGAGUGUAGAGGUGAAAUUCGUAGAUAUUCGCAAGAACACCAGUGGCGAAGGCGGCUUACUGGUCCGGUUCGUGACGCUGAGGCGCGAAAGCGUGGGGAGCAAACAGG
rnacentral:rRNA from 1 species